GGGGAGCCCAAGCCAAAGGGGAUUCUACCCUCCUUCCGCUGGAUGCCACGCUGUUGACAAACUAAUCUUCCUGAGCUAUUGUUUCUAUCGAGUCUGUCCCUGCUACAAAGCGCUACUUGCUCAACAUCUCUUUCCAGAAGAGCCUAACAAACUUUUAGCAGUAUUUCGGGUGAUUCGUGCGCACUCUGGCGUUUGAGAUGCUGUCCUCCAGCAACAGCAUUGAGAGAUUUCCGUAUUCUGAUCCCAGCCCACCAGCUCCUGCCAGAUGCUUUCUUACUACUCAACCCCACAGUUCCCUGUGCUCUAUUAGUUCCCUCUCCAGUUGUAUUCUCGCGUUUGUUCUAUAAGGUCUAAAGUUGGCAGACAGUGGGCCCAAAGCAGGCUGCAGUUGUAUUGUGUUUAGCCCACAUGGGCUUUU